UACAGAGACUACGAGCGUUACUCGGAUUCACUGGGCGUAAAGGGUGCGUAGGUGGCUAAAUGUGUUGGGUGUGAAAUCUCGGGGCUUAACUCCGAAACUGCGCCCAAGACUGUUUAGCUUGAGUCCUGGAGAGGUAAGCGGAAUUCCUAGUGUAGCAGUGAAAUGCGUAGAUAUUAGGAGGAACACCAAAGGCGAAGGCAGCUUACUGGACAGGCACUGACACUGAGGCACGAAAGCGUGGGGAGCAAAAAGGAUUAGAUACCCUUGUAGUCCACGCCGUAAACUUUGCACACUAGGUCUCGGGCAAUUCGACCUGCUCGGGGCUCAAGCUAACGCAAUAAGUGUGCCGCCUGAGGACUACGGUCGCAAGACUAAA
rnacentral:rRNA from 1 species